UUCCGCAAUGGACGAAAGUCUGACGGAGCAACGCCGCGUGAGCGAAGAAGGUCUUCGGAUCGUAAAGCUCUGUUGUUAGGGAAGAACAAGUACCGGAGGGAAUGCCGGUACCUUGACGGUACCUGACGAGAAAGCCACGGCUAACUACGUGCCAGCAGCCGCGGUAAUACGUAGGUGGCAAGCGUUGUCCGGAUUUAUUGGGCGUAAAGCGCGCGCAGGCGGUCCUUUAAGUCUGAUGUGAAAUCUUGCGGCUCAACCGCAAGCGGUCAUUGGAAACUGGGGGACUUGAGUGCAGAAGAGGAAAGCGGAAUUCCACGUGUAGCGGUGAAAUGCGUAGAGAUGUGGAGGAACACCAGUGGCGAAGGCGGCUUUCUGGUCUGUAACUGACGCUGAGGCGCGAAAGCGUGGGGAGCAAACAGGAUUAGAUACCCUGGUAGUCCACGCCGUAAACGAUGAGUGCUAAGUGUUGGAGGGUUUCCGCCCUUCAGUGCUGCAGCUAACGCAUUAAGCACUCCGCCUGGGGAGUACGGUCGCAAGACUGAAACUCAAAGGAAUUGACGGGGGCCCGCACAAGCGGUGGANCAUGUGGUUUAAUUC
rnacentral:rRNA from 2 species